GAUGCCCUGGCAGUCAGAGGCGAUGAAGGGCGUGCUAAUCUGCGAUAAGCGCCGGUAAGGUGAUAUGAACCGUUAUAACCGGCGAUACCCGAAUGGGGAAACCCAGUGUGACUCGUCACACUAUCAUUAACUGAAUCCAUAGGUUAAUGAGGCGAACCGGGGGAACUGAAACAUCUAAGUACCCCGAGGAAAAGAAAUCAACCGAGAUUCCCCCAGUAGCGGCGAGCGAACGGGGAGGAGCCCAGAGCCUGAAUCAGCAUGUGUGUUAGUGGAAGCGUCUGGAAAGGCGCGCGAUACAGGGUGACAGCCCCGUACACAAAAGCGCAUGUGCUGUGAGCUCGAUGAGUAGGGCGGGACACGUGGUAUCCUGUCUGAAUAUGGGGGGACCAUCCUCCAAGGCUAAAUACUCCUGACUGACCGAUAGUGAACCAGUACCGUGAGGGAAAGGCGAAAAGAACCCCGGCGAGGGGAGUGAAAAAGAACCUGAAACCGUGUACGUACAAGCAGUGGGAGC
rnacentral:rRNA from 1 species